AUGCAGGUUCUCGAGGAGGUAGGGAGGCUAAUGGAGGAGUACAAGGACGAGGUGACCAGCAUCACCGUCACCGGCCAUAGCCUUGGCGCGUCACUCGCCACCCUCACCGCCAUCGGCAUGGUGGCCAACGACGUCAACGUGCCCCCUGCCUCGAAGCAACCGCCGUGCCCCGUGACAGCGAUACUGCUGGCGUGCCCGCGAGUCGGGAACCCAACGUUCAAGUCCGCCUUCGACUCUUUCCCCCUCCUGCGGGCACUCCACGUGGCGAAUGCCAAAGACAUUGUGCCACAGAACCCUCCCUCCGUGCUGCUAAUGUGGUACGUGGACAGCGCGACAGCAACGAUCGUAAUUGACACGGACCGGUCACCCUACGUGUUUCACAAAAUAUUCACCCACCACGUCCUCGAGUUGUACCUGCACGGUGUCGCAGGGGAUCAUGGCGACAAGGAGGACUUCAAACUAGUGGUUCCCCGCGACUUGGCACUGGUGAACAAGACUACCGACCUGCUGGAAGACGAAUACCCAGUGCCGGCGAGCUGGUGGGUCGUCAACAAGAAAUGCAUGGUCAAGGGCACCGAUGGCCAGUGGAAUGGAAACUCGAUGACUUCGAAAAAGCAUAGUUAA
rnacentral:rRNA from 1 species